AGUGAACGCUGGCGGUAGGCCUAACACAUGCAAGUCGAACGGCAGCACAGUAAGAGCUUGCUCUUACGGGUGGCGAGUGGCGGACGGGUGAGGAAUACAUCGGAAUCUACUUUUUCGUGGGGGAUAACGUAGGGAAACUUACGCUAAUACCGCAUACGACCUACGGGUGAAAGCAGGGGAUCUUCGGACCUUGCGCGAUUGAAUGAGCCGAUGUCGGAUUAGCUAGUUGGCGGGGUAAAGGCCCACCAAGGGGACGAUCCGUAGCUGGUCUGAGAGGAUGAUCGGCCGCACUGGAACUGGGACACGGUCCAUACUCCUACGGGAGGCAGCAGUGGGGAAUAUUGGACAGUGGUCGCAAGCCUGAUCCAGCCAUACCGCGUGGGUGAAGAAGGCCUUCGGGUUGUAAAGCCCUUUUGUUGGGAAAGAAAAGCAGCAGGUUAAUACCCCGCUGUUCUGACGGUACCCAAAGAAUAAGCACCGGCUAACUUCGUG
rnacentral:rRNA from 1 species